rnacentral:rRNA from 1 species
UGGGUUCAGAACGUCGUGAGACAGUUCGGUCCCUAUCCGUCGUGGGCGUCAGAUAUUUGAAAGGAGCUGUUCCUAGUACGAGAGGACCGGAAUGGACAAACCGCUGGUGCACCAGUUGUUCCGCCAGGAGCAUCGCUGGGUAGCUAAGUUUGGAAGGGAUAAGUGCUGAAGGCAUCUAAGCACGAAGCCCCCCUUAAGAUAAGAUAUCUCAUUCGAAAGAAGUAAGGCCUCUGGAAGACGACCAGGUAGAUAGGCUGGAGGUGGAAGUGCAGCAAUGUAUGGAGCUGACCAGUACUAAUCGGCCGAGGUCUUGAUCUAA